UAGGGAAUCUUCGGCAAUGGACGGAAGUCUGACCGAGCAACGCCGCGUGAGUGAAGAAGGUUUUCGGAUCGUAAAGCUCUGUUGUAAGAGAAGAACGAGUGUGAGAGUGGAAAGUUCACACUGUGACGGUAUCUUACCAGGAAGGGACGGCUAACUACGUGCCAGCAGCCGCGGUAAUACGUAGGUCCCGAGCGUUGUCCGGAUUUAUUGGGCGUAAAGCGAGCGCAGGCGGUUAGAUAAGUCUGAAGUUAAAGGCUGUGGCUUAACCAUAGUACGCUUUGGAAACUGUUUAACUUGAGUGCAAGAGGGGGGAGUGGAAUUCCAUGUGUAGCGGUGAAAUGCGUAGAUAUAUGGAGGAACACCGGUGGCGAAAGCGGCUCUCUGGCUUGUAACUGACGCUGAGGCUCGAAAGCGUGGGGAGCAAACAGGAUUAGAUACCCUGGUAGUCCACGCCGUAAACGAUGAGUGCUAGGUGUUAGACCCUUUCCGGGGUUUAGUGCCGCAGCUAACGCAUUAAGCACUCCGCCUGGGGAGUACGACCGCAAGGUUG
rnacentral:rRNA from 1 species